AUACUUUUGUGGUUCUUAAGUAUGAUGAUUAGGUUUUCACACUUGUGUGUGAGAUGUGCCUUUCACAAACCAUGGUACAUUGCACAUUACCCAUUAUAUA